CGGUAUGGGAUGGGGUCGCGUCCUAUCAGCUUGAUGGCGGGGUAACGGCCCACCAUGGCUUCGACGGGUAGCCGCCCUGAGAGGGCGACCGGCCACAUUGGGACUGAGAUACGGCCCAGACUCCUACGGGAGGCAGCAGUGGGGAAUAUUGCACAAUGGGCGCAAGCCUGAUGCAGCGACGCCGCGUGCGGGAUGACGGCCUUCGGGUUGUAAACCGCUUUUGACUGGGAGCAAGCCCUUCGGGGUGAGUGUACCUUUCGAAUAAGCACCGGCUAACUACGUGCCAGCAGCCGCGGUAAUACGUAGGGUGCAAGCGUUAUCCGGAAUUAUUGGGCGUAAAGGGCUCGUAGGCGGUUCGUCGCGUCCGGUGUGAAAGUCCAUCGCUUAACGGUGGAUCCGCGCCGGGUACGGGCGGG
rnacentral:rRNA from 1 species